rnacentral:tRNA from 1 species
GGAGUGUACAGCUCAGUGGUAAGAGUGUGCGCUUAGCAUGCACAAGGUCCUGGGUUCAAUCCCCAGUACCUCCA